rnacentral:rRNA from 1 species
UACGUAGGCAGCGAGCGUUGUUCGGAGUUACUGGGCGUAAGGGUGUGUAGGCGGUUCUUUAAGUUUGGUGUGAAAUCUCCCGGCUCAACCGGGAGGGUGCGCCGAAAACUGGGGGACUAGAGUGCGGGAUGGGAGGGUAGAAUUCCUGGUGUAGCGGUGAAAUGCGUAGAUAUCAGGAGGAAUACCGGUGGUGUAGACGGCUCUCUGGACCGCCACUGACGCUGAGACACGAAAGCGUGGGUAGCAAACAGG